GAAAAAUGUACCCGCACUUUCUUCCCGCCCUUAUACAGUUGACAAAGAAGAAAGCAACUGGGAGGGAAGUGAAUCGACGACGAUCAUGUGUGGCAGAGCUCGUUGUACUCUCAGAGCUGAUGACAUCCCUAGGGCUUGUCACCGCACCGGCGCUCCCGUCCGUUCGGUUAAUAUGGACCGAUACCGUCCAUCUUACAAUGUCUCACCGGGAUCGAACUUGCCGGUUGUUUGUAGAGGAGAUGGAUCUGAUGGCGGGGGUUAUGUUCUUCAGUGUAUGACUUGGGGAUUGAUUCCCAGUUUCACUAGGAAAACUGAGAAACCCGAUUUCUACAAGAUGUUCAAUGCUCGAUCUGAGUCAGUAGGUGAAAAGGCUUCUUUUCGACGGCUCCUUCCUAAAAGCCGGUGUCUUGUAGCAGUAGAAGGGUUCUUUGAGUGGAGAAAAGAUGGGUCAAAAAAACAGCCUUACUACAUUCAUUUCAAGGAUGGUAGGCCUCUGGUGUUUGCUGCUCUUUAUGAUUCCUGGCAGAAUUCUGAAGGUGAGAUACUUUACACCUUCACUAUACUGACAACUUCCUCAUCUUCAGCUUUACAGUGGUUGCAUGGUAAGUGGUACCUGUUUCCACGCAUUCAUGUUGUUCUAGUUUUAGAUAUGAUGAGUCACUUAUUGAUAGAAAGGGAACAUUCCUUACAUGUCUAAAUUCAUUCCAAGGAUCUACUUUUUCUUCAUUUAAUCUUGGGGAAAAGAUCAAAUAUAUCAUGAUAAAGGUGUGCCAUAUGAUAGUGAAAAUCCUCAUAUAAGUUGGUUCUCUAUAAAGAGAAAGAAAAGGAAUCUGAGUUGUGCUGUAAGCUUUCAUUUGGAUUUUAUGACACUUUGAUGAUGGAUGAUGAAAUUAUUUCCUUUCAUUUAAAUAUUUGCAUGAGAGCCUUUUAGGUUGGACAUUGGAUAUUAAAUAAUUAGAAAUCUUUAAACAUAUAGCUUCAUAUUUUAUCUUGGAAUAAAGGGAAAUGCAUGUCUCCUCUUGUACCUUGCGAUAUUGUAGGCAUUUCAGCUUUUUAAUCCUUGCUAAAGUCAAGCAGCUGCAUACUGGUACUUUUUAUACUUGUGUUAAUGCAGACAGGAUGCCUGUCAUUUUGGGCAACAAGGAAGCAGUUGACACAUGGCUAAAUGGUUCUUCCUCUUCUAAGUUUGAUAUUGUACUUAAACCUUAUGAGAAUUCAGAUUUGGUAAGAGCUUUCCAGAUGUAUGACUGUUUCAUUUUUCCGGUUUAGUUGCCCUUUAGAGUUUCUUAUGUCCAGAAUUCCAAAAAGAAUUAUGUAAGAAAUAUGUUGCAGGAUAUAUUUUAAUACAUAUUUUAAUCUUUAAGGUAUGGUACCCAGUGACACCUGCAAUGGGCAAGACAUCUUUUGAUGGACCAGAGUGCAUUAAAGAGAUACAUUUUAAGACCGAGGACCAAAGCACUAUCUCAAAGUUUUUCUCAAGAAAGGAAAUUAAAAGAGAACAAGAAUCGAACCUGCAAGAAGGUACAUGUGACAAAGCUGUCAAUAUCGAUCUUCGAGAAAGUGUGAAAGAGGAACAUGGAAGCAUAGACAAGUUGGAAAUUCCAUCCUUGACAGAAAAGUUUGAUGAUAAUAUAAAAUCCAAUGUUUCUAUAAUGCCUUGUGAGGAUAAGGAUGAAACCAAGUGUAAAACAAAGCGGAACCAUGAGGAGCCUUUAGCUGAUUCCAACACAGUUAAAAGAGAGGAACUGCAGCGCAGUCCUGCAAGGAAGAAGGCCAACAUUAAGAGUGGUGUUGGUCGUGAUAGGGAUAAACAGCCAACACUUCUUUCAUACUUUAGCAAGAGGUAGUAUUCGUGCGCAUUAAAUUUCGUACUCUUGGGCACCUUGUGUUUAUGUAUAUAAACAACUAAAUUUUGAUGUUUAAAUUUUCUAACUGAAGGACUUAUGACACCAGAUACCUAGAAUGUGUUUGCUAGGGAUGUUUGUGGCACGCAUUUUGAGCUUCUUUCUUCUUCGUUUUUUUUUUUUAGUGGGUGCCAAUGUAAUCUCUCUUAUGCAAGUAAGGAAUCAUUUGGAUCUGUAACUUAGUAGACUUUAAAAUACAUCGUCUGUUUAGAUGGCGAAUUGGCAAAUACUUUGUAAUUGAUUUCCAUUUUAUCUAAUGCUGGUGUCAUCCUGCAGACAUUAUGUGCA
rnacentral:misc_RNA from 1 species